UCCUUACAACGAUUACUCUCCAUUUCACUUUACAUAACUCUUCAACAAGGUGUACUAUUAAUCUCAAACUUAUUAAUGUCUGGGUAACUUACAAAAUCUAAAUAAUUGAUCGGGUUCUUCUAAGGUCUUUAAGUAUAAAAUUCCAUAUUAUAGAGACUUAUUAGGAUAUUUCAGUAAUGGGGUACACUAGUGGUUUAUUUAGAUCGAUCUUAUU
rnacentral:lncRNA from 1 species